CGGCCGUGCUGGCAGCGAGCAGGCAGCAGGCGGGAUCGUACAGUCUUGUCCCGGUUCCCGCGAGCAGUUCACCGCGGCGUCCGGAAGGUUAAGCUGAAACGGCAGCUCAGCUUCGGAGAUGUUACCGUCCAAAUUGCAUGCGCUUUUCUGCCUCUGCACCUGCCUUGCGCUGGUUUAUCCUUUUGACUGGCAAGACCUGAAUCCAGUUGCCCAUAUUAAAUCAGAAGCAUGGGUCAGCAAGAUGCAAGCUCUGAUGGCUGCCGCAAGCAUUGGCCAAACUAAAAUCCCCAGAGGCAAUGGAUCUUAUUCCGUCGGUUGUACAGACUUGAUGUUUAAUUACACUA